CCCCACUGAAGUGAACUUGAGUUCUCACUCUUUUCGAUCAAAAUUACUCUUAUUGUUUUUCGCUUCUCUAUUUUUCACUAUUUAUUCUCAAGGCUCCUACUGACUUAAGCAUCAGAAGAUCUUAAAUCGGAGGGUAUUCCAUCGAUUUUAGAACUUCUUUUAUGGGUUCAUUCGUGGUCUUCGUUGAUUUGACCUUUAACAGCUCUCCAGCUCGAUUCAAAAUCGACCUUGCAGCAACAGUACAUCUAUAUGCCUCAUCUUCACCUAUAAUAUCGGAGUCCUUGCCAAAUGAAUUGCACUUUGUUACCACCUUCUGGAUUACAUGAACUUUUAAAAGAAUUUUUGAGCCAUAUAACUUCCUUGCAUGCAUGUGCAGUAAUAAGAACUUUACUAGAUGGGGAAGAAAAACUAAUUUACAAGCUGUUGGGGCGAUUCAGCCGACCCUCUUGAUUCUGAUUUACUAUCGGCCUCAUAAAUAUAAAAUACCUUCUAACAAUCAGUUGGCCGACCUACAGUCGGUUAUCCUCAGCCAUCGACAGACUUAGCCAUGACAACUCAGCUAAUCUUAAAUUGAUGACCAUUAACAUAUUAGAGUUACCGAUCGAUACUCAUUCGGAUCUCCAUGACUACUACUGACACACGAUCGAUGUAUUAUUACUACCGACAUAUAGUCGGCUUAUCUGAAACUGCCAAUGCAGGAAGUGCAUAAUGAUCAGAAUAUAAUCAAUGGUGGGUAUAACCACCCACCCCACGAUCACA
rnacentral:lncRNA from 1 species